UUUGUUUUGUUUUGUUUUACCAGGUCCAAACAAAAUCUGAUUUUGCUGAAGACACAGAGGGAAAUUGCCCAGAGAAGCUGUGACUGCCCCAUCCCUGGCAGUGUCCAAGGCUGGACAGGGCUUGGAACAGCCUGGGACAGUGGAAGGUGUCCCUGCCCAUGGCAGGGGGUAGGAUGGGACAAUAUUUAAGGUCUUCCAACCCAAACCAUUCUGGGAUUCGAAAUGUCAGUGCUAUUCUAAAAUAUCUCGAUUUUCCUCUGCAUUGGUGGUUCUCAGUGUGUGUCAUCUGUGCAUGUGUGGGUGGUAGCUGCAUUUCAGAAUUUCCAGGACUGUUAUAGCUCUUAUGUUUUUUUCAAGCAGCUUCCUCCAGUGUGAGUUGUCCCUCCUGAUAGAUUUGGACCCCACUUGGAAGAGUUCUCCAUGGAUGAGGGAAGCUGGAUAAAGAGGAUUAAAACCUCUGACUGGAGGUGAUUUAAGGGUUCCUCCAAAGCAGAACCGUGUAACAACAAUGCAGAUUUGUUUUAGGUAUUGGACACAUUUUCCACCCUCCAUGCGUCGAUGGUGCCAGUGACAAACUGUGGAAAAAACUCCUGAAGUGUGAGCCAAGAGCUCCCUUCAUCAGCUUUUUGUUAAGCUUGCCUGAAACCAGAGAUUCCUGGGAGGUUUCCAAGCCAGUCGCUGAACCCGACUGGAUUUUGAUUGCUCCAUCGCCUGUGAACCUGAAAUUCUGGAGCUGCUCUGAUCCCUGCAGCACUUUGGUUGUCCCAGCUCCCUCUCCCGGCAUCCCAGUGACCCUUUCACAAUCUCUUCGUGUCGGGCUGUGGUUUGUGUUUGUCGUGUUUUUCACAUUCCUGAUUUAUCAUGGAAUGGUUUGGGUUGGAAGGAUCGUGGAGGAGCAUCCAGAGCAUGGCAGGGACACCUUCCACUGUCCCAGGCUGCUCCAGCGUGGCCUUGGGCACUUCCAGGCAUCCAGGCACAGCCACAACUCCUCUGGGAAUUCCAUCCCAGCCAGGAAUUCCUUCCCAAUAUCCCAUUUAUCCCUGCCUGCUGCCAGUGGGAGCCAUUCCCUGUGUGCUGUCCCUUGUCCCUUGUCCCCUCCCUGCCUCUCCAGCAGGAUUCCUGUGCUGUUCCCGAGCACGGAGGGAGCAGAGCCCGGCACAUCCCGAGGCGGGGACGCAGCCAAGCCUUGGAUCCCGUCCUGGGCUGGGAGCGGAGCAGAGCCCUGAGCCCGGCCCCGCACAUGGAACGUGACGGCUUUGGAGAGCGGCACCUCGGCUCUGUGCAGUUCCAGGAAUGUUCUAGGAAGUGGGCAGGAGCCUCCAGCCCCGG